GGUGGAUGCCCUAAGACGACCGUAAGGGCCUCAACUCUAUCCUCAGGGUGUGCGAGAGCCACCCCUACUAAUGGAAGGUGGAGGACGUGGGCAAUGAGAUCCUCCGUGACACGCACAGGGACACCUACUACUGUGCCCUCGAUACCUCCAUCUCCCCGAUGGACGGUACUAUAAAACUCUUGAACAAGGCCAGGGUAAGUGGGAAGGUCCAAAGUGAGGAAGUACUCUAGGCCCUGGGCUCUAAGCCUAUCACCUAUGGUGAACCCUUCCCGGGAGAGAUAGUCAAAGUCGACAUACCUCCCGGUGGUGACGGUCUUCCCGGCCAACGGCCUUGCGGGAACCGC
rnacentral:lncRNA from 1 species